GGAAAAUCAGGCUCGCGACGGUCUUAAAAACCGUUGGGGAGACCCGUGCGGGUUCGAAUCCCGCUUUCCG
rnacentral:tRNA from 1 species